GCCAAUAGCACUCACACAAACAUGAUGAAUGUUUCUAAAACCCACCGGACUUUCUGUAAGAAGUGGGGCAAGCACCAACCUCGCAAAGUAACACAGUACAAGAAGGGCAAGGAUUCUCUGUAGGCCCAGGGAAAGUGGCGUUCUAACAGGAAGCAGAGUGGCUAUGGUAGGCAGACUAAGUAGAUUUUCUGGAAAAAGGCUAAAACUACAAAGAUUGUGCUAAAGCUUGAGGGUAUGGAGCCCAACUGCAGAUCUAAGGAAAUGCUGGCUAUUAAAAUACGCAAGCAUUUUGAACUGGGAGGAAAUAAGAGAAAGUGCCAAGAGAUCCAGUUC
rnacentral:lncRNA from 1 species